ACUGUGGAGUAUACGAGAACUUGUGAGUAGUAUAUUUAAUUUUUAUUAAAUUAUGAAAGCAUAUACGUUGAAGCAGUAA
rnacentral:ncRNA from 1 species